ACAACAGCAUUCGGACCGUCGGUCUACCGAGCAAUAUCACCCGCUCGGUGGAAGAUCUUCCCUUUGUCGUAUAUC
rnacentral:pre_miRNA from 1 species